UGUUUUAUUUCCUUGCAGGUACCUGGGGGUAACUUGUUAUUCUCAUUGUGGUGAUGGUAGUCGUUCUGUUUCUUUACGUUUGCAUCUUUCUAAAUAAUGAUCCGAGACCAAGAUUGCCGGAGCCCAGACCUCAAGUUAAGGUGGCGCCUCUUGCUCGAGUAGACACGGGAGACAACAACACGCUGUGCAUAGUUUACUUCGUUGAGCGAGACCUCAUCAGCUCAAGAGGUGGACGAACGAGAUCAUCGAAAAAACUCACGUCGUUCAGCGCAUGCGCACAUCAUGAAUUACGUGAUCGCGUCACGUGAUGACAUCCUGAACAUCCCCACUUGCCGACUGGCUCUGGUUUUUGUGAACCCGGAUGAACGGCAGCUGAUCUUGGAGGACGACUUUCACAUGGGAAGCACUCGGCGGGACACAGUGCAGACACUUCGUGACAGAGGAGCGGAGGUCAUUCUGAUCGUGUACGGUGACCCAACCGUCCAGGAUACGCGUCCUUCAAGAUGAACUUCUCUUCGACCGGUCUCUGACACAGGUGACGUCACAUCCUGUGCUGAGGGACUUGAAAUCCAAGGGGAGGAUAAUAAGUGUGAAGGUGUCAUUCAGUGCAUAUCAGAAACGGCAUCUGGUGGCCACUAUUGACCAGAUUUUUGUAUGAACUUAUUGUCAUUGUGUAUGCUUAAAGUAGGUAGGGGGGACAACUAAAACCACAGUCGUUGAACAUAUCACCGGUUGAGUAUGACAUCACAAGAGCUAGGUUAAUGGAACUACAGGGAAGUGAUCCAUGUCUGACCACUGCAAAGAAUAUUGUGAACCCUUGAUAACCCGCUAUGGGGGAAGCGUCCGAACUGAGAGCGCGCUGGUUCAAUUCCCGAUUAGCGCAGCCAACUUUUCCAAGUCGACCCAGCGGGCUGGAAAGGGUACCUGACUCCUUAGAAGGCUGGGAGGGAAGGUAGGUAAGGCAGAGAGGGAGAGGAGAUGGGCAAGACCCUCACCUAAAGCUGUCCCCGAGAAAAGUGAGUCUCUAACACUCCCCCCACACCCAACUACCUGAAAAGAUUAGGGGAUGACCUUUACAUUCUCCAUAAAGUCAUGAAUUUGCAUCAAAAGAACAGGCAGAAAGCUUUGUUACACGCAUUUGGCACUAUUUCAAAUAUUCUUGUAUAUUCUCCUCCUGAAAACACAUUUUUCCGAACGCUAUCAUAUCUAGAUUGUUUGUGUGCAACUGAAGAUUUAUUGCUUGAAAAUAAAUAACUAUUUUACUUAUAUUUUACUUGGCUGUUUGUGUUAAUAGUUCUCUAUUUAUACUGUUAUUGUUGUUGGGUAAAGCAGCAAAAAUCAUCCCCGAGCACUAGUUUGUCAAUAAAAUUUUGAAGCGUAUUAAUACAAAUAGAAAAUGUAUUGUGCAUUUUAGUAAGUUUACAAUAGACCCCCGCUGCCAUGGCUUCCUGUGCAUGGAGCUGUAUGGAAAACACGAACAAACAGGAAAGUAUGAACCAGUCCACAACCAAACAGACAACCGUUAGAAGCACAAAGGCAUGUGGGAUGGAAAUUAUUUUGUUCUAUUAUAAAUAAUGCAUAAAAAUAUCACCAAUCAAAGCGUGUGUUUUAGGGUAAGGUAAGUAGGCUAUAAAAGGUACACUAUUAUUUUUGUCUAUCUCUCUCUCACACACAUCACAAAACAAAUGUCUAUCGGAAAUGCCCAUAAACCUUUUUUUUUUUCCCGCGAAUCUCUAGCGAUGUACGCGCAGACAGGAGUGAGUGAAUUGAGUGAAUUUUGUUGUUUUAUUAUUAUUAUUAUUUUACAUUUUUCAUCAAGUGUUUCCAUCAUUGCACAUUUGCAUAAAACUCAAUUGUUUUACUUUCACGUGAAGAUUACAAGACUUCCGUCAAUAUUCUCAAGACUAUCGGGUUCGGAAAUUCCCGUUUUCCAGGAAACCCAAAUUUUCCCAUUUCCUAAUCUCUCCGGUGGGAAGAUGUUACAGGUUAUAAAUAGAACCACACAGCAGUUUACGUGAUCUUUGUUAUCAAAUCUUUACUAGCUGUCACCGAAAUUAAAAUCAUUUCUGUAUUCUCAUUAAUAUGCAGGUAUCCUAUACUGAGUAUUAUUCUUAUCUCAAAACAGAACACACACACACAAAGAAACAAACACUCUAUCAAGUAUUUUUAAAUACAUUUCAAAGUAAAAAUAUUCACAAACCAGUAGAAAUGAGUGAAAUAAGCAUUCUGUAAGACAGGCUAGUGCUAGAGAAUAUUGUUUUUUAGCAAAGAACGGAAUAUGGCUGAGAAUAUAGAUAAAAGGGACAAUCAAACAAUCUUUUUUGUCAUCAAACGGAGUGCAAUACAUAUGAAUAUUAAUUUAAUAAAAGACAGUGAAUAGUCAAUCAAUGCUAUUCUUGGAGUCAUUUCAGGAAUAAUGACACAAUGCUCACAACUUCCCUUAAGCAUU